GUCUGGUGAACGUUCCAGUUCCGAUGCUGGUGCCAGAGAUAGCGGUUAAAUAGCCCACGCUAGUCGAGCAUCCGCCAUCAGCGGGAGGAUGCCGGCGAGACAACCUGGAUCGGGGGACGCUAAGGUGCCGAAGGGCGCUAUGCCAAUCCCGAGCGGAGUCCACUGACGGACCCGUGUAGAGCGCGCAAAGGUGUCGGUCCGGCUCGGUCGAGCUGGGCUUAAGGUACGUGCCGAUCCCCCGCGAAAGCGGGGCCGCGUCCAAGAGUGCCCGCUGCACGAAUGGACGUGGUGUCGAGGCUAGGGGGCCCCCCCGCCCCCCUAACCUCGCAAGUAAUACAGCCUAAAAAUGGCCAGCAGCCGCGGUAAUUCCAGCUCCAAUAGCGUAUAUUAAAGUUGUUGCAGUUAAAAAGCUCGUAGUUGAACCUUGGGCCUGGCUGGCCGGUCCGCCUCACCGCGUGCACUGGUCCGGCCGGGCCUUUCCCUCUGGGGAGCCCCAUGCCCUUUACUGGGCGUGGCGGGGAACCAGGACUUUUACUUUGAAAAAAUUAGAGUGUUCAAAGCAGGCCUAUGCUCGAAUACAUUAGCAUGGAAUAAUAGAAUAGGACGUGUGGUUCUAUUUUGUUGGUUUCUAGGACCGCCGUAAUGAUUAAUAGGGACAGUCGGGGGCGUCAGUAUUCAAUUGUCAGAGGUGAAAUUCUUGGAUUUAUUGAAGACUAACUACUGCGAAAGCAUUCGUCAAGGAUGUUUUCAUUAAUCAGGAACGAAAGUUAGGGGAUCGAAAACGAUCAGAUACCGUUGUAGUCUUAACCAUAAACUAUGCCGACCAGGGAUCGGGCGGUGUUAUUAUUUGACCCGCUCGGCACCUUACACGAAAGUACAAGUUUCUGGGUUCUGGGGGGAGUAUGGUCGCAAGGCUGAAACUUAAAGAAAUUGACGGAAGGGCACCACCAGGGGUGGAGCCUGCGGCUUAAUUUGACUCAACACGGGGAAACUCACCAGGUUGAUUUGGGCCUGGAAUAGUGGAUUUAUUCUGCUAGUACUAAUCUUUACCCACGUGGGGGAAGCUAUGAGCCCCCGACUCGAGGCGUUGGGAGUCUGUAAAGACUUGGUUAGUGCGACACCAGCUGGUACAGGGAACGCUCUCUACGGAGCCAACUCUGUGGCGAGCCCGAGUAGCGUCGGGCCGUCGCAACGCACGCUAAGCGGUGGGCCGAAAGGCUUAAGGUACGUGCUAAUCCCACGGGCAACCGUGGCUAUCCUGAAUAGUUCCGAGUUUACGAAGCAGGAUAGGGGUGGUGUAAAGCCGCCUGUUUUAAAUGCCAGACACAACGAGGAUUGACAGAUUGAGAGCUCUUUCUUGAUUUUGUGGGUGGUGGUGCAUGGCCGUUCUUAGUUGGUGGAGUGAUUUGUCUGCUUAAUUGCGAUAACGAACGAGACCUUAACCUGCUAAAUAGCCCGCGUCGCUUUGGCGGCGCGCAGGCUUCUUAGAGGGACUAUCGGCUCAAGCCGAUGGAAGUUUGAGGCAAUAACAGGUUAACCUUUCACAGGCCUGUAACAGUGCACUCGUGCGCUAGUCCAACGCCGUAGUCCGCGGGGAAGUCCCCGUCUGUCGGGCGGACUGACGGGCCUCAGGGCCCGCCUGGCGUGGGCGACACUACCUGGUACAGGGAACGCCGUCAUCGCGGGGCGCUUUGCGUCGCCCCGCGCCGGCCGAUCCUGUGGCGAGCCCCGAGUAAACGCCGGGGCCGUCGCAACGCGCGGAAAGGAGUGGGCCUUCGGGCUUAAGGUACGUGCUAAUCCGCCGGGAUGAUAAACCGGUCCCCCGCAAUGAGGCCCGACAGGCCGAGGUGCGGGGGGGCAGCCCCCCUUGUGGGCUGCCGGUGUGGCGGGGUCGCUUCAGGGCCCCGCCGAUGCUGUGAUGCCCUUAGAUGUUCUGGGCCGCACGCGCGCUACACUGACACAGCCAGCGAGUCCUUCCUUGGCCGAGAGGCCCGGGUAAUCUUGUUAAACUGUGUCGUGCUGGGGAUAGAGCAUUGAAUUAUUGCUCCUUCAACGAGGAAUCCCUAGUAAGCGCAAGUCAUCAGCUUGCGUUGAUUACGUCCCUGCCCUUUUGACACACCGCCCGUCGCUACUACCGAUUGAACGGCUCNNNNNNNNNNNNNNNNNNNNNNNNNNNNNNNNNNNNNNNNNNNNNNNNNNNNNNNNNNNNNNNNNNNNNNNNNNNNNNNNNNNNNNNNNNNNNNNNNNNNAUUAAAA
rnacentral:rRNA from 1 species